CCUACGGGGGGCUGCAGUGGGGAAUAUUGCACAAUGGGCGCAAGCCUGAUGCAGCCAUGCCGCGUGUGUGAAGAAGGCCUUCGGGUUGUAAAGCACCUUCAGCGGGGAGGAAGGCGGUGAGGUUAAUAACCUCAUCGAUUGACGUUACCCGCAGAAGAAGCACCGGCUAACUCCGUGCCAGCAGCCGCGGUAAUACGGAGGGUGCAAGCGUUAAUCGGAAUUACUGGGCGUAAAGCGCACGCAGGCGGUCUGUCAAGUCGGAUGUGAAAUCCCCGGGCUCAACCUGGGAACUGCAUUCGAAACUGGCAGGCUAGAGUCUUGUAGAGGGGGGUAGAAUUCCAGGUGUAGCGGUGAAAUGCGUAGAGAUCUGGAGGAAUACCGGUGGCGAAGGCGGCCCCCUGGACAAAGACUGACGCUCAGGUGCGAAAGCGUGGGGAGCAAACAGGAUUAGAUACCCGUGUAGUC
rnacentral:rRNA from 1 species